AUUGAGAAUGGAAAUGGGGAAUGUGUCAAAGAGACAACAACCCGACCAAAGAAAAAAACAACAGCAGCAGGUCACCAACAGGUCUUCAAUGUAGCGAGAAAUUCCCGCACCCGGAGGCGUCCUUCAGCUGGCCCCUAAACAAAUAUAUACUAGUUCAGUGAUAAUGAACGCCAUACUAAUUUCCAAAUUGUACACAAGAAACCAAAAUUAAAAUAAU
rnacentral:lncRNA from 1 species